rnacentral:rRNA from 1 species
UACAGAGGGCUCAAGCGUUGUUCGGAUUCAUUGGGCGUAAAGGGCGCGUAGGCGGCUGGGUCAGUCGGGUGUGAAAUCUUGGGGCUUAACCCCGAAACGGCAAUCGAAACUGCCCGGCUGGAGGGCCGGAGAGGAGAUCGGAAUUCACGGUGUAGCAGUGAAAUGCGUAGAGAUCGUGAGGAAAACCCGUGGCGAAGGCGGAGCUCUGGAAGGAUAACUGACGCUGAGGCGCGAAGGCCAGGGGAGCAAACGGG